UUUAACCAUUUUGUAUCUUAGGAGUAAAAUCAUUUUUGUUUUGAUUAUUAUUAAUUCAUAUUUUAUCAUUUUACUGCUUUACUCAGUCGAGGCGUGUUUGUUGCCUGAAGAUUGAUUUUUUUUGUUUUGUUUUAUCAUGAACGGCUCAUCCAUCUCUCCUUUAUAAUAAUACUCCUCCUUCAAGUCGAACAUUAUAUUUUAUACAUAUAUACAUUAUACAUAUAUACAUUAUACUCAAAGUCCCAUUUAAAAUCAGUUUCUAUAAAAUGGAUGUCUUUUAUGAUGUCAUGAUACUGAUAAAUAAUAAACGUCCAAAUGUGUAUUAUUAUUUAUUCAUGUCCUUAUUAUAAUUAUUAUAAAUAAUUAUAUACUUCAUAAUUUAUUAUUUAACCUUACAAAGUCUAACAGAGAAAUAUCCUUCCAAAGCACAAACGUACAUUUAAUACAGACAGAAAUUUAUUAUGGAUAUUAAAAAAAUUUUUUUUUAAACACCCUUUGAAGUUUGGUCCUAACAUAAAAAAGUAUAAGAAUAAAUACAAAUGUUUAAAUCAUCAUAAAUGCCAUUAUAAACCACAACCAAAAUAAAGAAGCAUUAAGAAGUAUUAGAAACCUCACAAACACUACGGCAGGAUUUUAAUAUUCUAUAAAACUUCAUAAAACACUUGCUGUAUUUUACUGUAUUUUGGCCAGAAAAAAAGAAAGAAAGAAAAAAAGUAAUUCAAAUAAUAGUUGGACCCAUCUGAUAUAAACAUUAAAAAAUAUAUAGGUUAUAGCUGAGAAUAUCAAAUAAAAUGCAUCAUCAUUCAGGUUUUGAUUUUCGAUAAACACAUUUUAUAUAUGAAUUGGUUUUAGAUUACACCAGUUUUCAAUUCAAAAACUAAGAAAUAUUCCAGAAUAAGAAUCUUAAGUCCUUCUUAAUACAUUAAAAUGUGACGUACACUAAAGAACAAAAAUAGCCAUUUCCUUCACUGCAAAAUAUAUGAUAAAAUACACUUCACAUAGGUAUACAUACAAGUGUGUGUGUGUGUGUGUGUGUGAGAGAGAGAGAGAGAGAGAGAGAGUGAGUAUUAUUUAUCUUCUAUUUUUGUUUUCUGUAUUUGCUCUACACGUUCUUCACAUAUCAGUGUAUCAUAGUAUAUUAAUUAAAAUAAAUGAAAAGAUAUGCACUUAAAAAAUAACUGGAUAUUAUAUAGAAUAAAUCAAAAGGAAUUCUGGCUGCAGUCUUGUACCAGAUGGGAUGUGUA
ensembl:lncRNA